rnacentral:misc_RNA from 1 species
AAGUCGUAACAAGGUUUCCGUAGGUGAACCUGCGGAAGGAUCAGCAGUAAAUCUAUCAUUAUAAUCAAUGAUUUUCUCUCUACCCUGUGAUAAGAAUUAUGUGGUAUAAACAUAAUUUUUUGUAAAGGAUUUAAUCCCAUAAUUUCACUUGGUGAUAUUAUUGGUAUAACUUUAGUGUGAAAUUACUACCUAAAACCUUACAGGAACCUCCCAUCCAGUAUUGGUUGUCAAGUAGUUAAUGGAUUACUUGAGAUUAUCCAUAAUUUUACUGGUAAAUUUGGGUUAACUUUUACAGUUAAAAACCCUAUUAUCCAAAGUUUAUUGGUCAUUUAUUAUACUUAACUGUAUAAUUAAUUAAAAAAUACAACUUUCAACAAUGGAUCUCUUGGUUCUC